UACAGAGGGGGCAAGCGUUGUUCGGAAUUACUGGGCGUAAAGGGCGCGUAGGCGGCCUGUUAAGUCAGACGUGAAAUCCCUCGGCUCAACCGGGGAACUGCGUCUGAUACUGGCGGGCUUGAAUUCGGGAGAGGGAUGUGGAAUUCCAGGUGUAGCGGUGAAAUGCGUAGAUAUCUGGAGGAACACCGGUGGCGAAGGCGGCAUCCUGGACCAAUUCUGACGCUGAGUGAGCGAAAGCCAGGGGAGCAAACGGG
rnacentral:rRNA from 1 species